rnacentral:rRNA from 1 species
UACCAGCACCCCGAGUGGUCGGGACGAUUAUUGGGCCUAAAGCAUCCGUAGCCGGUCAUGCAAGUCCUCCGUUAAAUCCACCUGCUUAACAGAUGGGCUGCGGAGGAUACUACAAGGCUAGGAGGCGGAAGAGGCAAGCGGUACUCAGUGGGUAGGGGUAAAAUCCUCUGAUCCAUUGAAGACCACCAGUGGCGAAGGCGGCUUGCCAAUACGCGCUCGACGCUGAGACGCGAAAGCGUGGGGAGCAAACAGG